UAGUCCACGCCGUAAACGAUGAGAGCUAGCCGUCGGUCAGCAUGCUGUUCGGUGGCGCAGCUAACGCAUUAAGCUCUCCGCCUGGGGAGUACGGUCGCAAGAUUAAAACUCAAAGAAAUUGACGGGGGCCCGCACAAGCGGUGGAGCAUGUGGUUUAAUUCGAUGCAACGCGAAGAACCUUACCAGGUCUUGACAUACAGAGAACUUUCCAGAGAUGGAUUGGUGCCUUCGGGAGCUCUGAUACAGGUGCUGCAUGGCUGUCGUCAGCUCGUGUCGUGAGAUGUUGGGUUAAGUCCCGUAACGAGCGCAACCCUUGUCCUUAGUUGCCAGCACGUAAUGGUGGGAACUCUAGGGAGACUGCCGGUGACAAACCGGAGGAAGGUGGGGGACGACGUCAAGUCAUCAUGGCCCUUACGACCUGGGCUACACACGUGCUACAAUGGCCAGUACAGAGGGCUGCAAAGCGGCGACGUGGAGCUAAUCCCUUAAAACUGGUCGU
rnacentral:rRNA from 1 species